CCGUAGGUGAACCUGCGGAAGGAUCAUUAAUGA
rnacentral:rRNA from 1 species